UACUCAGGUUUUGUUCCUGGCUCUUUCUAUUAGUCCUAGGUAAGACUACACAUGCAAGUAUCCGCUCCCCAGUGAGAAUGCCCUCCAAGCCACAGCUGACAAAGAGGAGCAGGCAUCAAGCACACUACCAUGUAGCUCACAACGCCUCGCUCAGCCACGCCCCCACGGGAUACAGCAGUGAUAAAAAUUAAGCCAUGAACGAAAGUUUGACUAAGUUAUACCUACACCUCCAAGGGUUGGUAAAUUUCGUGCCAGCCACCGCGGUCAUACGAUUAACCCAAACUAAUGGAGCCACGGCGUAAAACGUGUUUAAGAGAAAAAGCAACAAAAUAAAGCUAAGCCCUGACUAAGCCGUAAAAAGUCCUAGUCAAAAUAAAAAUAAACUACGAAAGUGACUUUAUUAACCCCUGAACACACGACAGCUAAGACACAAACUGGGAUUAGAUACCCCACUAUGCUUAGCCCUAAACCUAAGUAGUCAUCGCAACAAGACUACUCGCCAGAGUACUACUAGCAACAGCCUAAAACUCAAAGGACUUGUCGGGCUUCUAUCCCUCUAGAGGAGCUGUCUAUAAUCGAUAAACCCCGAUAAACCUCCACUCAAACCUUGUUACUCCAGUUCUUGUAUACC
rnacentral:rRNA from 1 species